UCAAAGGCGGCAACUGUGUUCCAGUUUGAGUUUGGAGGGAUUCUAGGGUGGACUCGGUCUCCUACAGGAAAAUGUAGCAUGGCACUCAAUUCGUCCUGAGAUAGUGAGUACUCAGUGUUGAACAUGCGGAAAUUGGCGGUACCGGUUAAGUAUUCGACCUCACCGGGUGGAGUGGUAUAGGAAUAAGAACUUUAAAAUUCCAAGGUGAAUGAUGGGUAUGCUGGAUGAUUUUGUGU
rnacentral:lncRNA from 1 species